rnacentral:rRNA from 1 species
GGUCGGUUCGGCCGGGUUUCACACAGGUGUUGCAUGGCUGUCGUCAGCUCGUGUCGUGAGAUGUUGGGUUAAGUCCCGCAACGAGCGCAACCCUCAUCCUUAGUUACCAUCAGGUAAUGCUGGGGACUUUAAGGAAACUGCCAGUGAUAAACUGGAGGAAGGUGGGGAUGAUGUCAAGUCAUCAUGGCCCUUAUGGAGUGGGCUACACACGUGCUACAAUGGUGGCUACAAUGGGCUGCAAAGUCGCGAGGCUAAGCUAAUCCCUUAAAAGCCAUCUCAGUUCGGAUUGUACUCUGCAACUCGAGUGCAUGAAGUUGGAAUCGCUAGUAAUCGUGGAUCAGCACGCCACGGUGAAUACGUUCUCGGGUCUUGUACACACUGCCCGUCACGCCAUGG